GGCUCAGAGCGAACGCUGGCGGCGCGCCUAAUACAUGCAAGUCGAGCGAGAAGGUGUAGCAAUACACUUGUAAAGCGGCGAACGGGUGAGGAAUGCAUGGGUAACCUACCCUAGAGUGGGGAAUAACUAGCCGAAAGGUUAGCUAAUACCGCGUACGCUUCUUGGACUUCGGUUCAGGGAGGAAAGCGCUACCGAGGGUAGCGCGCUCUUGGAUGGGCUCAUGUCCUAUCAGCUUGUUGGUGAGGUAAUGGCUCACCAAGGCUUCGACGGGUAGCUGGUCUGAGAGGACGAUCAGCCACACUGGCACUGCGACACGGGCCAGACUCCUACGGGAGGCAGCAGUAAGGAAUAUUGCGCAAUGGGCGACAGCCUGACGCAGCGACGCCGCGUGGGGGAUGAAGGUCUUCGGAUUGUAAACCCCUUUCGGGAGGGAAGAUGGAGUGGGUAACCACUUGGACGGUACCUCCAGAAGCAGCCACGGCUAACUUCGUGCCAGCAGCCGCGGUAAUACGAAGGUGGCAAGCGUUGUUCGGAUUCACUGGGCGUACAGGGAGCGUAGGCGGUUGGGUAAGCCCUCCGUGAAAUCUCCGGGCCUAACCCGGAAAGUGCAGAGGGGACUGCUCGGCUAGAGGAUGGGAGAGGAGCGCGGAAUUCCCGGUGUAGCGGUGAAAUGCGUAGAGA
rnacentral:rRNA from 1 species